rnacentral:rRNA from 1 species
AUUGAACGCUGGCGGCAGGCUUAACACAUGCAAGUCGAGCGAGCGGCGGACGGGUGAGUAAUGUCUGGGAAACUGCCUGAUGGAGGGGGGUAACUUCUGGAAACGGUAGCUAAUACCGCAUACCAUCAGAUGUGCCCCGAUGGGCUUAGCUAGUAGGUGGGGUAAUGGCUCACCUAGGCGACGAUCCCUAGCUUGUCUGAGAGGAGGACCAGCCACACUGGAAAGGAGACACGGUCCAGAGUCCUACGGGAGGCAGCAGGGGGGAAUAUUGCACAAUGGGCGCAAGCCUGAUGCAGCCAUGCCGCGUGUGUGAAGAAGGCCUUCGGGUUGUAAAGCACUUUCAGCGAGGAGGCGUUACUCGCAGAAGAAGCACCGGCUAACUCCGUGCCAGCCGCCGCGGUAAUUC